UACGAAGGGGGCAAGCGUUGUUCGGAAUUACUGGGCGUAAAGGGCGCGUAGGCGGUGCACUAAGUCAGGCGUGAAAGCCCUGGGCUCAACCCGGGAAUUGCGCUUGAUACUGGUGCGCUCGAAUCCAGGAGAGGUUGGUGGAAUUCCCAGUGUAGAGGUGAAAUUCGUAGAGAUUGGGAAGAACACCGGUGGCGAAGGCGGCCAACUGGACUGGUAUUGACGCUGAGGCGCGAAGGCGUGGGGAACAAACAGG
rnacentral:rRNA from 1 species